UACGUAGGGGGGCAAGCGUUGUCCGGAUUUAUUGGGCGUAAAGCGCUCGCAGGCGGCUCGAUGCGUCGUGCGUGAAACACCCCGGCUCAACUGGGGAGGGUCGUGCGAUACGGUCGGGCUUGAGGCCAGUAGGGGGAUGCGGAAUUUCGUGUGUAGGGGUGAAAUCCGUAGAUCUACGAAGGAACGCCAAAAGCGAAGGCAGCUCUCUGGGUCCCUACCGACGCUGGGGUGCGAAAGCAUGGGGAGCGAACAGG
rnacentral:rRNA from 1 species